UGAGAUGCAACCCAGAAGUCUUUCCAUAAGUCAGUUACUUCUGUGAGCCAUUGAAGGGGCAGGGCAUAGAGAGGACACUCAGAAUUUGUUCGCCUAUAGUUUUCUACUGAAACCCAUGCCCAGCUGUCAGGAUGGCUCCAUGGGAUGUGAAAUCCCCCCAAAUUCUCUCAUCUUCUCCUUUGCAAACAUGAUGGAAAGGGCCUGUGAGAUUCUAGAAGUGCACAGUGCAGUAGUGGCUGAAGCAAGAGAUACCUGUGGCCACUGAGGAUGGACUGUCACAGAUAAGAGGGACCAAGCCUAGCUGUAGAGCUUACAGCUGUGAGAGUCUAGUUGGCCCAGGAGGAUACAAGCAUCCUGUCUGCUGAAAGUGAAGUCAUGGAGCAUCAGCAAGAGGCCCCCUCAUCCCUUAAGGCCAUCAGAGUUUAAGAUCACCUUCCCAUCCUCCACCUACCACAUUUGCAGCUCCUGCUGAAAUACGACUUGACAGCGGCCG
rnacentral:lncRNA from 1 species